CGCCUCUUCCCAGUAAUGGGUGGGACCCGUCUGUGCCUGAUUCUCCAACACCGGCCAGGGUGGCGAGGAAGAGGAGGUUUCCUGUCUGAGAGAGGCGGUGGAAGUCUAGGGUGGCGCCCGCGAACCUCGAAAGGCGCUGCGCGGCUGUGCUGGGAAUCCCACCCUCCGCGAGCCUGAACCAGGGGUGCCAGAGACCAGCCCACGCGUUUCGCCAAGGAGAAAACUGCCACCCAGAGAAGUUUCCUCACCCUGAAAUGAGGAUAAUAACAUCUACUUACCCACUCUUCAAGGUUGUUUUAAGAAUCAAAUGUGAUAGUGUAUUUGAAUAAUUUGAAAAGUAUAAAGUAUUAUUCAAUGUAAGGUAUUAUUUUCA